rnacentral:rRNA from 1 species
AUUGAACGCUGCGGCAGGCUUAACACAUGCAAGUCGAGCGAGCGGCGGACGGGUGAGUAAUGCUUAGGAAUCUGCAUAUUAGUGGGGGACAACAUCUCGAAAGGGAAGCUAAUACCGCAUACUAAUAGAUGAGCAUAGUCGGAUUAGCUAGUUGGUGGGGUAAAGGCCUACCAAGGCGACGAUCUGUAGCUGGUCUGAGAGGAUGACCAGCCACACGGGAACUGAGACACGGUCCAGACUCCUACGGGAGGCAGCAGUGGGGAAUAUGCACAAUGGGCGCAAGCCUGAUGCAGCCAUGCCGCGUGUGUGAAGAAGGCCUUCGGGUUGUAAAGCACUUUCGGCGGGGAGGCGUUACCCGCAGAAGAAGCACCGGCUAACUCCGUGCCAGCCGCCGCGGUAAUUC